rnacentral:rRNA from 1 species
GACGAACGCUGGCGGCGUGCUUAACACAUGCAAGUCGAACGGCCAGGCCCUGCUUUUGUGGGGUGCUCGAGUGGCGAACGGGUGAGUAACACGUGUUUAACCUGCCCUUGACUUUGGGGUACCUUCAGGAAACUGGGGCUAAUACCGGAUAGGAGAUCCCCCUGCAUGGUGGGGGUUGGUAAGUUUCGGCGGUUGGGGAUGGACUCGCGGCUUAUCAGCUUGUUGGUGGGGUAGUGGCUUACCAAGGCUUCGACCGGUAGCUGGCCUGAGAGGGUGACCGGCCACAUUGGGACUGAGAUACGGCACAGACUCGAACGGGAGGCAGCAGUGGGGAAGAUUGCACAAUGGGCGGAAGGCUGAUGCAGCAACGCCGCGUGCGGGGUGACGGCCUUCGGGUUGUAAACCGCUGUCGCCUUGGACGAAGAGAGAGUGACGGUAACGGGUAAAGAAGCACCGGCUAACUACGUG